AGAAUAUGAAAAUCCAAUUGAAAAAGUAUUACGUGUUCAUAAUUAAUAUGAAAAUCAUUUAGAAAGGACAUACAGUUUUACAUAUGUUUUCAACGGCGCUGGCGCAUUAAUAUUGUGCCUUGAAGUGAAUUAAACUCUUAACUUUCCGACCUAUAAGUCUCGUAAUAAGAUUCCACCGCUAUUAAGUCGUCCAAACUCAAAAGGAUGAAUAAAGAGCUAAAACCGCCGAACUGACAACAAGAAAAGUUCGAAAUUUAUGACCUCAAAGGUGAGAAGCAGAGGUUAGUUUGGGUUCACAACCAAUUGCAAGAACGCAACUUCCAAUAUCUUUCACUUCGAUAAUUGGUUCUAAUUGCGCAAAAGUUACAGAAUAAACUAUUCGCAUUAUAAUUAGAUAUUAGAAGAUUUCGAGAGGGAAGACAUUAAUAUUAAUUAUGCAUGUGUGUAGCUCAUAAAUAAAGUAUUUUUUGUUUACAUUAUGCUUUCAGCAAUUAAUUUUUGUAUAUUUUAUUUAGGUUUGCCAUUUAUUAACUUAGUGCUUAUCUAGUGACUAAAAAAAAUAAACAAAGAUAACAAUU